GCAAGUCGAGCGGUAACAGGAAGUAGCUUGCUACUUCGCUGGCGAGCGGCGGACGGGUGAGUAAUGCCUAGGAAAUUGCCCUGAUGUGGGGAUAACCAUUGGAAACGAUGGCUAAUACCGCAUAAUGCCUUCGGGCCAAAGAGGGGGACCUUUGGGCCUCUCGCGUCAGGAUAUGCCUAGGUGGGAUUAGCUAGUUGGUGAGGUAAUGGCUCACCAAGGCGACGAUCCCUAGCUGGUCUGAGAGGAUGAUC
rnacentral:rRNA from 1 species